UGUUCUACACAAACUGGUUCUAACACAGGA
rnacentral:piRNA from 1 species